UACGUAGGGGGCAAGCGUUGUCCGGAAUCAUUGGGCGUAAAGCGCGUGUAGGCGGUUCGAUAAGUCGGCUGUGAAAGUCCAGGGCUCAACCCUGGGAUGCCGGUCGAUACUGCCGGACUAGAGUUCGGAAGAGGCGAGUGGAAUUCCCGGUGUAGCGGUGAAAUGCGCAGAUAUCGGGAGGAACACCAAUGGCGAAGGCAGCUCGCUGGGACGUUACUGACGCUGAGACGCGAAAGCGUGGGGAGCGAACAGG
rnacentral:rRNA from 1 species